rfam:Homo sapiens chromosome 1, GRCh38 reference primary assembly.
GCCGGGCAUGGUGGCUUUUGCCUGUAGUCCCAGCUACUUGGGAGGCUGAGGCAGGAGAAUCGCUUGAAUCCAGGAGGCGGAGGUUGCAGUGAGCCGAGAUCGUGCCACUGCACUCCAGCCUGGGCAACAGAGCGAGACUCUGUCUCAA